rnacentral:lncRNA from 1 species
AAAUGAUUCAGCAGUCGAAAGAGAAGGGACGAUUCUACAGGAACCAACACAAGAAGGUUCUGGAAUCCGUCACUGAAGUCACUGAUAUUCGGGCCUUCAUAGAGCAGUCAGAUGAAGCUCAACACGUCUUCUCUGACCUUAAUCCUCCCGUUAAACUCCUGGUCAAUCUGUAAGAGGCCGUCAUAGAGCAGUCAGAUGAAGCUCAACGCGUCUUCUCUGACCUUAAUCCUCCCGUUAAACUCCUGGUCAAUCUGUAAGCACCCCUUUAAUUAAACAUUUCUUAUUUACUCAGCUUCUUAAUUAAAUUUUGGUCAUAAAACCGGUAAUUCUUCGUAAAUAUGUGUCUCUUUAUAUGUGUUUGUUUCUCUGGGUUGUCGAGAGCUGCUAUGCUUGUCGGGUUUAUUGGAUUUUGUUUAUUUCGGGUGACUACUGAGAAAAGUAGAGAAUUAAGUAUUUGGGAAUUGCCUUAAUCUAUUUUUUAGUUGAGUAAAGUUGGGAUGUUGUUCUUUAUAUUCUUUUCUUCUAAUUGAUUUUUGAGAAAAAUAGAGAAUUGGGUAUUUGGGAAUUGCCUUAAUAUACAUUUAAGUUGAGUAAAGUUGAG